ACAUCGGUGGCACAGUGAUCAGUGCAGCCUGCCAGAAACAGAAAGACAGGGGUUCAAUUCCCGUCCGAUGUC
rfam:Nippostrongylus brasiliensis genome assembly, scaffold: NBR_scaffold0000402